UCUGUAUGGUUGCAAUGGGUGGACGGGUGGUGUAAUUAACUACAUUCCACUUAUAUUUUACAGUCUGUUCUAGAAAUUUUAAGGCAGUGUUGGGAUGAUUCAUUAUUCUGUAGUUGAAUUGGCUGGUGGCACAAAAUGGAGCACGGAUCUAACAACAGCUGAAAAGAUUCAAAAUAGAAUGAAAAAGUCAAAUAGGUUGAAUGGCUGUCUGUUGUUCUUGCCAUUUCUUAUUUUGUUAUGUAUAAAUCUAAAUGAUCAAUUAUUGAUAACCUUUUCAGGUUCACAAAAACUUGGCCUUCCAAAAAAGGGGCAUAUACUGGUCCUGGAAACUGACGGAACUGAGAUUGAUGAUGACGAAAUCUUAUUGGAGAUGCAAUCAGAAUCUUUAAUAAUACUGAUGGAAGGUGAGAGCUGGAUCCCACAGAUACCCAUAGAAGAACAAGUGAACAUAACAUCAAUUGAGCAGAAGUCUGAUUCUGAAAAAAUAAAUGAAAUCAUAUCCCUUGACUCCGCAGCAUACAUGGAAUCUUUUGCAAAUCGGAGAUGUUCAACAGUGGAUGAUAGAACCCCUCUGCCUCCAUUUUCUGACCUGGUGCAUAGAAGUCUUCUGGCUGGCAAUUCAAGAGGGAUAUGGCAUAAAAUGGUUGAUGAAGCAUCUAAUUAUUACCUGGCUAAUUAUCGCAGCCUAAGUGACAGGCCAUUGGAAAAAAGCUGUAUAGCAAAUACCCAUGCAUUAAGCAUGAAGGGAAUGAACCGUGGGCAAGAUGGAAUUCAAUCCUUAUUUUCUAAGUGCCUCAGUCAGAAGAUGAGGCACAUGAGGUGGUCUUUAAAAAGGUAAAACCUGCCCAUUGACUCCAGUUCGGCACCAAUUAUGGCAAAGAAAGCCCAGGUACCUACCAUACAGAGGCGUGAAGAACGGCCCGAUGAAGAAUACGACCGCCAUGUCGAAGAAUUAAGAAAAGAAUUUGACAAAAAUAAGCCAGAUGACAAUCACAUAGACAUUCUUCUUAAAGAAACGUUUGGCAAUCGUCGAUUGUGGCUGACCACUCUUCCAGCUGGAAGAAUUAAACCAAUUGUUGAAGUUUACCCUUGUUUUGAAUGGGGAAAAUUUGUAAGUAUCUGUUUAUUUACUCAUGUUAUUGUAAAGUUAUAGAGGGCAUACUACAAUUCACCUGCUUACAGUUAACUGCAUUAUUAUUUUCCUUCUACAGUUUCAUCAAACAGUCAAUAUUACUGAUCACUAAAAUAAAAUUCAAAUUGUGGUUGUGAAUGUUGGUUUAAAGGUUGCGAUUUGCUUUAAUCCAAUCCAAGUACAGUUAUUAUGAUGAUGAUAUACAGAAACUCAUUUUGUGACAUUUAUUUUACUUUAUUUUUUAUUCAUUUUAAGUAAAUAUUUAUUUUUAAUGUAAUGUCAACCAUUUUCUAAAACUGUUAUCUGACAGCAUAGGUCCUGGGUUUAUAAAUUCUAGUUCAACAUUCCUGCGUUGGAGGUAUUUUUUUUUUUUUUUUU